rnacentral:rRNA from 1 species
AUUGAACGCUGGCGGCAGGCCUAACACAUGCAAGUCGAGCGAGAGGCGGACGGGUGAGUAAUGUAUGGGGACUGCCCGAUAGAGGGGGAUAACUACUGGAAAAGGUAGCUAAUACCGCAUACUAUCGGAUAACCCAUAUGGGAUUAGCUAGUAGGUGAGGUGAUGGCUCACCUAGGCGACUAUCCCUAGCUGGCCUGAGAGGAUGAUCAGCCACACUGGGACUGAGACACUGCCCAGACUCCUACGGAGGCAGCGUUGGGGAAUGUUGCGCAAAUGGCGCAAGGCUGAUACAGCCAUGCCGCGUGUAUGAAGAAGGCCCUAGGGUUGUAAAGUACUUUCAGUCGGGAGGCGUUAGCGACAGAAGAAGCACCGGCUAACUCCGUGCCAGCAGCCGCGGUAAUUC